rnacentral:lncRNA from 1 species
ACCAAUACUGGGCUAAACAUUUCUAACUACCGGGGAGGAGUGCAGUCAAGAAUGAAAACCCUCGAGCCCCAGCCAUAGACCAUACAUGGCGCUCCUUGCCGGCUAUGACGAGAGGGCCAGCAGGGUUCGGAGUUGCUCCAUCAAAGAUACACAUAAUCAACCUCAGUCUGUUACCCUCAAGUUAUAUCAAACCAGUGUGUAUCAUUUUCAAACCAUCUGCAGAAAAGAAGAUGACACCUAAUGUGUUGUCAAUCCAAAAGAAAUAUGAGAAUAGUUCGAAGAUGAUGAAAGUUGCCAAUCGAAUUAGC